rnacentral:tRNA from 2 species
UCUAAUAUGGCAGAUUAGUGCAAUGAAUUUAAGAUUCAUAUAUAAAAAUUAUUUUUUUUUAUUAGAA